rnacentral:rRNA from 1 species
CGGACGGGUGAGUAAUGCUUGGGAAUCUAGCUUAUGGAGGGGGAUAACUAUGGGAAACUGUAGCUAAUACCGCGUAGAAUCGGGAGAUGAAAGUGUGGGACCUUCGGGCCACAUGCCAUAGGAUGAGCCCAAGUGGGAUUAGGUAGUUGGUGAGGUAAAGGCUCACCAAGCCGACGAUCUCUAGCUGGUCUGAGAGGGUGACCGGCCACAUUGGGACUGAGACACGGCCCAA